GGGAUUUUUAACGGCGAACUGCAGGAAAUCUUCCAGGCAGCUGCUAUUCACCUGUCAGCAAGGAAGGAAUUAAAGAACAAAGAGCUGAGCUCCCAACAAAAGUACUGAAAUCAUCAAUCUACCAGAGGGAAAAAAGGGAUUCCCAUUGAAGUGACAACAUUUUUCAACACGAAGGCUAAAGAGCAGGCACUAUUGUGAGACAGCUGAACAGGAUCUGUCAAAACGCCGUACGUGGACAUUCUGUCAAGUGAAAUUCAGUGGAAACAAAUGCAAGUUAACAUGUUGUUCCUUCAUACAAAUGGAUUUUCAGCAAGCUGUAAUCCCAUGGGGAAAAAGAUCUUCAGACUUUCACACAGCUCCAGAAAUCUGAGCCCGGGAAGGGCUGGCUAGACUACUGGGAGGAAAAAGAUGCCUGGCUCUAAGUUUAGCUACCGCUGCUAAAGGAAUUCCAGUGAUGACAUCUGUUGAGAGUACAAUGCAGGCAAAAAGCAAGAAAGCUGAAUACUCGGAAGGGGAAGAAGAAGAAGGUGUGCGAUGGCAUCGCGUUAACUCUGCUAAUCCUCACUUGCAGUAAGUGAUCAGUUCUGGCCAUUUAUUUC